AACGCGAAGAACCUUACCAGCCCUUGACAUGCCUCGUAUGGGCCGGAGAAAUCCGGUCCUUCAGUUCGGCUGGCGGGGACACAGGUGCUGCAUGGCUGUCGUCAGCUCGUGUCGUGAGAUGUUGGGUUAAGUCCCGCAACGAGCGCAACCCUUAUCCCUAGUUGCCAUCGGGUCAAGCCGGGCACUCUAGUGAAACCGCUCAGGAUAACUGGGAGGAAGGUGGGGAUGACGUCAAGUCCUCAUGGCCUUUAUGUCCAGGGCUACACACGUGCUACAAUGGUCGGUACAAACCGUCGCAAACCCGCGAGGGGGAGCUAAUCGGAAAAAGCCGGCCUCAGUUCGGAUUGGAGUCUGCAACCCGACUCCAUGAAGCUGGAAUCGCUAGUAAUCGCGGAUCAGAACGCCGCGGUGAAUACGUUCCCGGGCCUUGUACACACCGAGACGUA
rnacentral:rRNA from 1 species